UCUUUCUGAUGGCCAGGAGGGGGCGACUCCUCUGCACAACAGGAAGACAUUAACAGAAAUUCAGUCUAUUUAAACUUUAAUUUUUACUUCAAAAACAUUUUUCUAAAACAUGUUUUUGGUCUCAGGUGUUAGUUUGACUCUUCUUUGAUAUAAACUUUAUACAUAUUUUAUAUUUUUUUCACACUAGUUAGAGCGACAGUAAAAUAUAAAUGAUAACGCCGGGGCUGGCUUGAGGGCAUUGCUGUUUUUGAAUUGAAUAGUUCCCUCCAUAGAGACACAUUCAGGAGAGAGGAAAUUUAUAAUUAUUUUUUAUUUUCAUUAUUACAUUUUACAAUAUACCAAUAUAAAUAUACCAUAAAACAAACAAACAAUCUAAAGCUACGGAGCCCCUAAGGGGGAAAAAAAAAUUUAAUUUUCUCGAGAUUUUUAUAGUACUACAAAUGACACUCAGUUAACUAAAAGAACUAACAUUAUAUUUUAGCAUAAUACAUUUGGAUAUGGGUUUUGUGUAAAGUAAUCCAGCUUUCAAAGUUGGGUUAGGGUCAGUCCAUUUUUUCUUGUGUUUGUGAAAUUUCCCAAGAAAAGGAAGUAACUGUACAAAAAACAAAAUCUCUCUCUUUCUCUUUCUGUCUCUCUUUUUUUUCUGAAAUCGAAUUUUUAUUGUUUCAUGGGAAAAUUUCCAAAAGUUUGUACAGAGGCAACAAAAAAACUGAAAAGUUGUGUAAUAUGAUGAAAGGGGGAACGUUAUUUGGUCAAUAACUUUCAGCACGAUGUGGUUUUUUUGAUGCAGGAUGCAGGACAGAUCAUGACAGGUGGUUGACAACAUAUAUACAGUACAAACAGACAAAGUGACAAAUACAGCAGGAACACGUCACAUUUACAUACAUUUAGAAAGUGUUGCAAGACUGACUCUUUGUCUUUUAGGUGGUUAAUUUUCCUGUUUUUUUUUCGUAUAAAUGUAAUUUUGCAUAUCCACACAGAAUAUUUUAGAAAACAUGCAGAGAUAAAACAAUUCUUUUGUUUCUUCCUCAAAACCACAGAACACACAAGAAUACUCAAUAUUGAGGUUGAAUCUCUUUUCUGGAUAUAUUCUGUGUAUUAUCUUAAAAGAAACCUCUUUAAUUUUAUCAUUCAAGCAGAACUUAUCCUGGAGGUCGGAGGUGUAGCGGUGCUUAUCCAUCCACUGUGAUCACUCAACAAGAAACAAGAAAACCCUCCCAAGAAGAUCCAUGAGCGCAUGAGCAGUUUAAAGUUGGAUUUCUCAGCUCUUAUUUAAGAAACGUAAUUAAUCCAGCUCGGCACAGGUGUUAGACAUCCAUUGGUGCAUGCUCAGUUAGAAGUUUACCUCUUGAAUCCUCUAUUAAGACUUCUGUCUUUAAAUCUGUUUGGAUACCAGAGGACCUGAAGAGCAAAUCCUCCUCUAAAUCGAGGGUCAGGGACUCACCUGUGCAGGUAAUCCCCUUUUUUUACAUUCCCAGUUUUUCCUUCACAUGCAGUUCCUCCUCUGUCCAACAGAUGUCACUCUCUCAGCACCUCUUUCCUCCCUCUGCUGUUCUGAUUUUUUUCUUUUUUACAUUUGCAGAUGCAGAAAUCCACUCAGGGUCAGAAAGAAGCCUGCUAAGUUGAGAUGCACACAUACAGAUGGAGUGAGAGUCAUCCCGGGUCUCCAUCCUCUCCUCUCUCUGGCAGCAGCAGCAGCAGCAGCAGCAGCGGAGUGUAGGUGAAAGGUCUCAGGAGUGGGAGGACUUCAUUUCCAGAGCAGCACAGUGAGUGAAAUGAUGUUCAGAGAGACUGCAGGAAGGUUAAACAGUGAUAUGUCACAGCGGGGACAUCGAUCUGACCGGGCCUUUUCCUUUUGGAGCCUGAAUCAGUUUCUUUCACUCCUCUCCAUCUCAAAGUCUUGAUUCAUUUCAGGGCAGAUGACAAAGAGGGAGCAGUGAUUACAGGUUAUUGUGUUUUAUAGAGGCCAGUGAUGUGUUUUCCUCUUUGAUAAGAGGCCGGAAAUCACAUGUUAGUUCAGUUGCCAAUCACAGGAGGGAGGCUGACUCACUUUGUGAGUGUUUGCUGCUGAGACUUCACACUUAAAUCAAGUGUUAUAACCCGGGAACAGAGCCGAAGGGAAAAGGAAGAAACACACUCGGUGUUUUUGGUGAAUUAAAGCUGCGGUCAGGAGUUUUUGAUGUUUAUGAAAUAGACUUAAAUUCAUAAAGAUGCCUUUUUAUGCUGUACAAAAGCAAAGACCACCAGUUAACAGAGUGAGGAUUUUCAUGCUGUGAUUUUUUAAUCUGUAUAGAGGGGGCAUGUAUCACUCAAACAGGUGAAAAACAGCUCUGUUUGAUAUUUUUCUCAAUAAAUAUGUAGCGACUGCUUUCCUUCAACACAAAAGACUGCUGGGGUUUAGGUUCGCUUGAAUGAUCAGUCCGGUUUAAGUGUUAAAAAAUGAAUUAUUGUUCAAAAAAGGAAAGAAAACACGCUGAUCUAGGUCCAAUGCUUUUGCCUUCAACUGGAAAGGUGAUGUGAUGAAAUGAGGAUAAAACAGGAUGAAUGAAUGAAGAACUGAAAAACGAUGAGAAACGGUCAAAAACGGUCAACAGAAAAUUAUCAGAGCUGACCAAAAAUCAACUGUCUGAUUACACCUGUGAGAUUUAAAUAACUCGCCAAACAUCCCAAA
rnacentral:lncRNA from 1 species